rnacentral:rRNA from 1 species
UACCAGCACCCCGAGUGGUCGGGACGAUUAUUGGGCCUAAAGCAUCCGUAGCCGGCCUUACAAGUCUUCCGUUAAAUCCACCUGCUUAACAGAUGGGCUGCGGAAGAUACUAUAGAGCUAGGAGGCGGGAGAGGCAAGCGGUACUCGAUGGGUAGGGGUAAAAUCCGUUGAUCCAUUGAAGACCACCAGUGGCGAAGGCGGCUUGCCAGAACGCGCUCGACGGUGAGGGAUGAAAGCUGGGGGAGCAAACCGG